rnacentral:rRNA from 1 species
UACGUAGGGUGCGAACGUUGUCCGGAAUUACUGGGCGUAAAGAGCUCGUAGGCGGUUUGUCGCGUCGUCUGUGAAAUUCUGCAACUCAAUUGUAGGCGUGCAGGCGAUACGGGCAGACUUGAGUACUACAGGGGAGACUGGAAUUCCUGGUGUAGCGGUGAAAUGCGCAGAUAUCAGGAGGAACACCGGUGGCGAAGGCGGGUCUCUGGGUAGUAACUGACGCUGAGGAGCGAAAGCGUGGGGAGCGAACAGG